AUAUGAUCUCAUGGUCAUAGGAACAAAUACUUGACACGUAGAAAACAGUAGCAACAAAAUGACACGAUCAACAUGCUACGUCUAUUAGUUUGGGUCUAGUCCGUCACAUGAUUCUUCUAAUGAUGUGAUCUCAUUAUCAAGUGAUAACACUUGCCUAUGGCCAGGAAACCUUGACCAUCUUUGAUCAACGAGCUAGUCAACUAGAGGCUUACUAGGGACAGUGUUUUGUCUAUGUAUCCACACAACUAUUGUGUUUCCAAUCAAUACAAUUAUAGCAUGGAUAAUAAACGAUUAUCAUGAACUAAGAAAUAUAAUAAUAAAUAAUUUAUUAUUCCUCUAGGGCAUAUUUCCAACACUUGUUGCUCACAAUCUAGGGCAUCGUUAAAAAUGUUGUUUUCAAAGUGUAUAUAAAACUUUCUCGGAUUCGGUUGAAACUUGGCGUGCUGUCUUAAUGGUGUGUAGGUAGGCCGCUUGCCAAAUUUCGUCAGAAUCGGAGUUAGUUUGAUACCCGAACCAUUAAACCUAUAGCGGCAUUAUAGCUGGUACAUUGUCAGACGUUUCGGUAUUUUAAAACUCCGAUGCUGGGCUGCUCGUUUUCCCUCUCAUCCUAGUCCGGAAACUCCCCCGGACCCGAACCCGGCGGUUUUAACCGUUAGGUUCAGAUCAACCCCGUAAUACCCCAAACCAUCAUCGGAGUGUCAAUUGGUCUCCGUAACCUAGUAUACUGAGCCAUCCGAUUUAAACGGAGGGCCAAUUAAACCCCAUUAAGUCGCUUGCCACUUAUAUAUACAAAUGCGGAUCAAAUCCCUACCCUAACCCUAGCCCGACCGACCCAAGGCCCGUCUAACCCCUUAUAACCCUAGUGCCAGGGAGAGCAUCCGCUUGAUCCCUUCCUCCCUCGUAGCGCCGUCACCAGGAGUAACCAACACUUCUUAUGAUCCCCUCGUUCGCCCUCCUCGAUCCCCAUCGCCUCACCGUUGGCC
rnacentral:lncRNA from 1 species